GAUGAACGCUAGCGGCAGGCUUAAUACAUGCAAGUCAAGGGGGUAGCAAUACAACCGGCGCACGGGUGAGUAACGCGUACACAACAUGCCAUAUACUGGGGUAUAGCUUUGGGAAACUGAAGGUAAUCCCCCAUAACAUUGCGAGAGGGCAUCUGAUUGCAAUUAAAGUUUCGGCGGUAUAUGAUUGGUGUGCGUUUGAUUAGCUAGUUGGUAGGGUAACGGCCUACCAAGGCGACGAUCAAUAGCUGGCGUGAGAGCGCGACCAGCCACACUGGAACUGAGACACGGUCCAGACUCCUACGGGAGGCAGCAGUAGGGAAUAUUGGACAAUGGAGGAAACUCUGAUCCAGCCAUGCCGCGUGAUAGAUGAAGGCCCUCUGGGUUGUAAAUAUCUUUUAUCUGGGAAGAAACUCCUCUAUUCUUAGAGGCCUGACGGUACCAGAGGAAUAAGCACCGGCUAACUCCGUG
rnacentral:rRNA from 2 species